CCCUUAGAUGUUCUGGGCCGCACGCGCGCUACACUGACGAUGUCAGAGAGUGUCUCCUUCACCGAGAGGUGUGGGUAAUCUUUUAAACAUCGUCGUGCUGGGGAUAGAUCAUUGCAAUUUUUGAUCUUAAACGAGGAAUUCCUAGUAAGCGCGAGUCGUCAGCUCGCGCUGAUUACGUCCCUGCCCUUUGUACACACCGCCCGUCGCUACUCCCGAUUGAAUGGUUUAGUGAGGCCUUCUGACUGGCGCCGCUACUCUGGCAACAGAGCGGCGGAUGCCGGGAAGUUGGUCAAACUUGAUCAUUUAGAGGAAGUAAAAGUCGUAACA
rnacentral:rRNA from 1 species